AUACGUAGGUGACAAGCGUUAUCCGGAUUUACUGGGCGUAAAGGGCGUGUAGGCGGUCUUGCAAGUCAGAAGUGAAAUUCCUGAGCUCAACUCGGGCGCUGCUUCUGAAACUGCUUUACUUGAGUGCUGGAGAGGAUAGUGGAAUUCCUAGUGUAGCGGUAAAAUGCGCAGAUAUUAGGAGGAACACCGGUGGCGAAGGCGGCUAUCUGGACAGUAACUGACGCUGAGGCGCGAAAGCACGGGGAGCAAACAGGAUUAGAUACCCUGGUAGUCCGUGCCGUAAACGAUGAAUACUAGGUGUAGGGGGUAUCGACUCCCUCUGUGCCGCAGUUAACACAUUAAGUAUUCCACCUGGGGAGUACGGCCGCAAGGUUGAAACUCAAAUGAAUUGACGGGG
rnacentral:rRNA from 1 species